GACAGGAACGAAAAUAAUGAUGGUGUUUAUCUUGAUUUUAGUAAAGCAUUUGACAAAGUGCCUCACCAAAGACUUCUUACUAAAAUAAAGGUCCAUGGGAUAGAAAGUAAAGUGGAUUGAAGCAUGGCCUAGUGACAGGAAGCAAGCAGAGCAUUCAGAAAUAUGGGGAUAAAUCAAAAUGGGCUGAGUUAGUUCUGGCAUCCUGCAGCAAUCAGUUCUGGGUCCAUUCCUGUUUAUCAUAAUGAUCUUGACUGCGUUAUAAUCAGCAACAUAAAAGCAAGUUUGAUGAUGACACAAAAAUAGGAAGACAUCAUUUCAGACAACAAUGGUGAGGUGCUACAGGAGAUGCAAAUGUCCUGUAUGAGUGGAAUGACAAAUGGAUGAUGCAGUUUAAUAUUGACAGUUGCAGUGUCCUAAGUGUGUGAGAAAAUAAUUCCCGAAGUACUUACACAUUAAACAAUACCCCUCCUUCCCCCCCACCCCCUCAAAGACCACUCCAGCUGUGAUAGGGAUUUGGGUGUGCAUGUGAGCUCUGAACUUCAGCCCAGAAAUCACUGUACAGGAGAACCUCAUUUAUCCGGCACGAAGAGGAAAAGCUCAUGCUGAACAACCCGUUUUGCCAUUAUUUUGAGACUUCUAUAGAAUUGUAAAAACUCCUAUUGUGUUGCCUUCAGCUUCAAUCCUCUGUUUUUAAUUUGUUACUAUCAAGUGAGUUUCAUAGUUGUUAGGGUGAUGCAACACAAGGUUAUAUUAUGAGGUUUAUUCACAUUAUGUUGGUAUAUAAUGGUAGCGAGCUUACUGAAGUUAAGCAACAAUAUUAUUUACAAUCCAUCAUUCUGUUGGUAAUGGUUACAAGCUUACUGAAGUUAAGCAACAAUAUUAUUUACAAUCCAUCAUUCUGUUGGUAAUGGUUACAAGCUUACUGAAGUUAAGCAACAAUAUUAUUUACAAUCCAUCAUUCUGUUGGUAAUGGUUACAAGCUUACUGAAGUUAAGCAACAAUAUUAUUUACAAUCCAUCAUUCUGUUGGUAAUGGUUACAAGCUUACUGAAGUUAAUUAACAAUAUUAUUUACAAUUCAUCAUUCUGUUGGUAAUGGUUACAAGCUUACUGAAGUUAAUUAACAAUAUUAUUUACAAUCCAUCAUUCUGUUGGUAAUGGUAGCGAGCUGACUGAAGUUAAUUAACAAUAUUAUUUACAAUCCAUCAUUCUGUUGGUAAUGGUAGCGAGCUGACUGAAGUUAAUUAACAAUAUUAUUUACAAUUCAUCAUUCUGUUGGUAAUGGUAGCGAGCUGACUGAAGUUAAUUAACAAUAUUAUUUACAAUCCAUCAUUCUGUUGGUAAUGGUAGCGAGCUGACUGAAGUUAAUUAACAAUAUUAUUUACAAUUCAUCAUUCUGUUGGUAAUGGUAGCGAGCUGACUGAAGUUAAUUAACAAUAUUAUUUACAAUCCAUCAUUCUGUUGGUAAUGGUUACAAGCUGACUGAAGUUAAUUAACAAUAUUAUUUACAAUUCAUCAUUCUGUUGGUAAUGGUUACAAGCUGACUGAAGUUAAUUAACAAUAUUAUUUACAAUCCAUCAUUCUGUUGGUAAUGGUUACAAGCUUACUGAAGUUAAUUAACAAUAUUAUUUACAAUCCAUCAUUCUGUUGGUAAUGGUAGCGAGCUGACUGAAGUUAAUUAACAAUAUUAUUUACAAUCCAUCAUUCUGUUGGUAAUGGUUACAAGCUUACUGAAGUUAAUUAACAAUAUUAUUUACAAUCCAUCAUUCUGUUGGUAAUGGUAGCGAGCUGACUGAAGUUAAUUAACAAUAUUAUUUACAAUCCAUCAUUCUGUUGGUAAUGGUUACAAGCUGACUGAAGUUAAUUAACAAUAUUAUUUACAAUUCAUCAUUCUGUUGGUAAUGGUAGCGAGCUGACUGAAGUUAAUUAACAAUAUUAUUUACAAUCCAUCAUUCUGUUGGUAAUGGUUACAAGCUGACUGAAGUUAAUUAACAAUAUUAUUUACAAUUCAUCAUUCUGUUGGUAAUGGUUACAAGCUGACUGAAGUUAAUUAACAAUAUUAUUUACAAUCCAUCAUUCUGUUGGUAAUGGUUACAAGCUUACUGAAGUUAAUUAACAAUAUUAUUUACAAUCCAUCAUUCUGUUGGUAAUGGUAGCGAGCUGACUGAAGUUAAUUAACAAUAUUAUUUACAAUCCAUCAUUCUGUUGGUAAUGGUUACAAGCUUACUGAAGUUAAUUAACAAUAUUAUUUACAAUCCAUCAUUCUGUUGGUAAUGGUAGCGAGCUGACUGAAGUUAAUUAACAAUAUUAUUUACAAUCCAUCAUUCUGUUGGUAAUGGUUACAAGCUGACUGAAGUUAAUUAACAAUAUUAUUUACAAUUCAUCAUUCUGUUGGUAAUGGUUACAAGCUGACUGAAGUUAAUUAACAAUAUUAUUUACAAUUCAUCAUUCUGUUGGUAAUGGUUACAAGCUUACUGAAGUUAAUUAACAAUAGUAUUUACAAUUCAUCAUUCUGUUGGUAAUGGUAGCGAGCUUACUGAAGUUAAUUAACAAUAUUAUUUACAAUUCAUCAUUCUGUUGGUAAUGGUUACAAGCUUACUGAAGUUAAUUAACAAUAGUAUUUACAAUUCAUCAUUCUGUUGGUAAUGGUAGCGAGCUGACUGAAGUUAAGCAACAAUAUUAUUUACAAUUCAUCAUUCUGUUGGUAAUGGUAGCGAGCUUACUGAAGUUAAGCAACAAUAUUAUUUACAAUUCAUCAUUCUGUUGGUAAUGGUAGUGAGCUGACUGAAGUUAAGCAACAAUAUUAUUUACAAUUCAUCAUUCUGUUGGUCAUGGUAGCGAGCUGACUGAAGUUAAGUAACAAGUCUAAUUAAUAAUUAUCACUCAUCACUCCUAUUCACCUUAAAGGGCUCACUCAUCUCUUCAGACUAUUACAACUACAUGGUAGAUAUGGUACACUGGCCAUAGCUUAAACACCUAACCGUUGCUAAAUAACAAGCUACCCUAAUCAGGGUUCAAUGAUACAUGAUUAUUACUGAAAAAUGUUUCCUACCACCAAUAUGUGUUCACAGGGAUGAUCAUGGAAGCAAGGUAGUCAUGGGGGUUCAGGACACCAAGGAGGUGGUCAUGAGUCCCCACAAAUACUGGACUAUACAAAUGACACAAAAAAAAUUUAUCCUUUUCUAUUACUGAGUUAAUCAUGGGAUGAGACAUUCGUGCAGGUCUGAGAUACCAGAGGGUGAUCAUGGAUCGGCACAACAAAGGGGAACUUUACAUAUUAAUACACAACAAGGGGGUAACCGUCCAGUCAGUAGGGAACCUGCGUGAGGAGAGGCGAGGGCUCGACUGAGUUAACCGUUAUAGGUAUAAUAAUAACAUUGUAACACACUAAAUAAUCACUGUCCGUUGGAGUUAAUUUCACACGUACCUGCGUGAGGAGAGGCGAGGGCUCGACUGAUAGGCGGCUCUCAACGCGCUCCCUACUUGACUCCCCCCCCUCCCUUUGGCGUGGCUGCCGGUUAAACUAGCAUACCGAACAGUGGUUGUAGUUACAGAUACUUGGCCUGUUCCGCAAACUCAGGAGUUUAGAGACAGCUGUUUCGCUCUCCCACGUGACUUAGGUGAAAAAUUCCUCCUCGUCGUUCCCCGUGAAAGAAAAAACCUAACUAACCAUCCUCAGCACCUUCACUAUGAGUCAGACCCACACGAUGCUGACCCAUCACUGGUUCGUCUGUCUGUCUGAAUGUCUGCCCUGCUGCACCAUCACUUAAUUCACAGUUAAUACCUUAAUUAUUUAAGAGGAUCGAUUGUUCUGGGUUUCCCCGCAUAACACUAUCAUUGUUGCUUAGCAUAGGAAAGUGUAAGGUGUGUCACAUUCUUUCCACAGUGGCCUUAUACACGUACCUACUCUACAUUAUUAUUGCCUGUUUUUUGUCUUGUUAUGUCUGAUUUGACUAAAAUGACAGCGUGGUGUUGUGGUGGUGCUGAGUUGGUGUGGGCAGCACCACUUGUUAACAAACAAGAGUAUGAGGUGCACCAUGCACAUUCCAGUGCCCUUCAACAUGUUAUUGGGUUUAUUCUACAUUUUCAUCGCUUGUUUCCGUCUAUUUCUCUUUUGUUUUGACUGACUUACUGACUGGAGUGUCAGCAUGGGUUGAUGAUGGUGGUGAAUUGGAGCAGGCAGUGCCACUUGAAAAUAACAAAAGUUUAUGUGUGCAUUCCACACCGCCGCCGCCCGCCGGGAGGUAAACAUCACAUCCCAGCUGCUCAUCGGUCGUCUGCUCAAAAGGACCAGGAGACCCGAUUUCUUUGCCUAUGUUGUAGGUGCAAGGUCUGGGGGGAAUAGGAGGAUAGGUCCUGUCUCCCAAGGGAAAUAUGGAAAUAAAAAGGACUAAGAAAAGCAUCCAGGAGGGAUAGAGUGCCAAACCAGAGUCCAGAAAAUGGCAGACAUCCCAAACAAAGCCCCGCCGGAUUUCACCAAAGAGGCUGAGGUUUAUGAGGAUUAUGGCUUUCAGGGAUUUACUCCUGGAGGAUGUGAGGUACCAAGAACAUGGAGGAGACUCAGUAUACUGGAGGAAGAUGCGGAGUUGACAAAAAGUGAGGUGAAAGCCAUGAGAGAUGAGAUCACAAAGCUGACUGAAGUUAUCGGAGAGUUAAGGAAAGAUAUAGAAAGAAAAUCUGAGGUAAGUGACAUGAGAAAAAUGUGAAGUGAUGAAAACAUCUCAUUAUAGUGAACAAGAUAAAGACGAAAGGAUGAAAGUCAUUGUGAAAGAGGAAAUAACAAAAAGAAUGGAGGACAUAGAGGAAUGGAUUUAACCCCUUCAACACAAGAACGUGUAUACUGCGUCCUUGCGUGCCCUGAACCAUAUCCGAGGAUACACAUACUGCGUCCUGGCUCGCUUUAGCCAAUAUAUGAGUUAUUUUAUGUAUAUUUAUGCUUACAUCUCAAAAUUUUCAAUUAAAUUAUGUUUCUUUAUGUGCACCAUUUAAUUCUGCAUGUUUUCAUAUAUAAUACAUGAUGAUUAUGUUGAGUUUAUGGCUGAAAACUUGUUAUAUUCAAUAGUGACAUUUGAAAUUUGGCGCGCGUGGUGAUCCCGGAUACAGUGUGUGGUGUUGUUUUGGCCCGGCCGUAGUGAAGGGGUUAAAAUGUGAUCAAUGUAGAACUAAAGAAUUGGAGGAAAAAGAAAAUAUUGCUGUAAAAUGCAGAGAAAGUGACAUAGAAGAGAAAAUGAAGGAAGUAGUAAAUCAAGAGCUAUCUAAAAGAAUGAAGGGAGUGGAAGAAGGAAUAAAAACGACAAAUGUGGAAAUGAAUAAUUUAAUAGACACAAAUGAUAAGGAAAAAAGUGAUUCUAAGGAAAUAAUGCAACAACAAGUGCAGGAAAGAAAGGCUGAAAGAGAAAAAGUUGUUCAAGUAAUAAAAUAGAAAAUCUAGUAAGAGAAGUGGUUGAAAAGAAGUUUAAUAAUAAUGGGAGUGAAAGAGGAAAAGGUUCCAGCAAGAAUGCAAAGAAAAGGGAGAGAAAUAAAGAAAAUUAAGGAUACACUAGAAAGUCUAUAUAAUGAGUCAGGGCGACUGGUGGAGGAUGUGGAGGAUGUGAUGAGACUGGGGAAGUGUGAGAAAGGAAAAGACAGGCCUAUGAAAAUAACAUUUAAGGCAGUAUCAGUAGUAGAAAAGAUAAUAAGUAUGAGCUGGAAACUUAAAGAAAAAAGAUCAAUACAAGCAGACGUAUAUAAGAAGAAACAUGAAUUUAGAGGAGAGGCAGACUAUAAAAAGAACUAUAGUAUUUCCAUUUGAAACUGGCCGGUGAUGUGUUGGCCGCUGCAGGGUCAGCCCCGCCCCGCCCCGCACCUUGCCACACACCCUCAACACCUCUCACUUCCUCUCAUGUGUCAGCUAUUUACUAUCUUUAAAUGAAUUUGACUAAUUAAUUGGAUAAUCAGAUAAGGUCAUAUAGUGUUAACAUAGUUUCAUUUUUAGGAUAAUAACAAAGAUUUUGCAUAAACGCCAUGACACUUGACAACGUUGGAUUACAAUAUUGUCAAGUGUCGUAUUUAUACAAAAUCUUUGUUAUUAUCCUAGAAAUGAAACAAUCAUAACACUACAGAACCUAAUUGGAUUAUCCAGUCAUUUAAUUAAAUUCAUUUAAAGGUAGUAUAAAUAGCUGACACAUGAGAGGAAGCAAGACGUGUUGAGGGUGCGUGGCAAGGUGCGGGGCGGGGCUGACCCCGUAGCAGCCAACACCCCACCAGCCAGUCUCAAAUGGAAGUACUAUAGUAAGUGAUGCAAAGGAAAAAAAUGAGGAAAGAAGUGAAAGAGAUAGAAAAAAGUUUCUUUGCAGAGGGUGGAAUGGGAGAAUGGUGAAGUGCUGGAUAAGGAAGAAAGAAUAGACCAAAGAGAACAUGAAAUGGGGAAAAAUAAUGGAAGAACAGACAAUGUAAAAAUAUCGUAUACAAAUAUAGAUGGUUUACUGUCAAAAAAAAUUAGAAUUGAGAAAUUGUCUGAGGAAUGAAAAACCGGACAUAAUGGGAAUAACUGAAACAAAAUUAACGAAAGACAAAGAAAUAAUACAAAUAGAUGAAUGUAACUAUAGAAUAGGCUAUAUAGGAAAGAAAGAAUAAGAGGAAGAGGAGUAAUGAUUAUGGUAAGAAAGGAAUUAAGUCCUAUUACAGUGAAGGAAGGUUUGGAAAAUACUGAAAUUUUAAGCAUACAGAUCAGCUUAAGUAAUAAUGUAAAACUGAAAAUAAUAGUAACAUAUGUUCCUCCAUACACAACAUC